CACACUCACUCACACACUUCUUACACAAGUGUGUUUUAUUCCCCUUCUUAGCAUUCAGGAAAAAAAUGGAAAAUAAACAUAAGACACACACAUAAACUCGAGGCACAAGCCGUCGCCCGCCCACAUACACAGACACACACCUUGCACCCUCCUAUAGAUUAUGUUCUUGUUACACUGACAUACACACACCAGCGCAAAUAAAACUGUAUCACUUCGAACUGUUUGAGCAGCGACAGCAGACACACGCGUUCGCACACAGGAGCAGUUGUCCUAACACACACACAACACUUACAGCUUGUUCCCCAGAUUGCCUUUUACUAAUUUGUUCCCUCCAAGUGAGAGUUUGUCUUUGGAUUUUAAUAUUUUCCUUUAUGGCUCUGGGUGAAAGGACUGUUUCAGAUUUAUUUACCGAGAAGCCAGACAUGGCUGGAGAGGCCUCGCAGCCCGGAGACGCUUUUUUUUUUUAAAUUUUAAUUUGUACACAAAUUCACACAUUUGAGUUUAAACCCUGGCAAAGCACCUCCAGUGGUCGUCAUGGAGCAUCCGGGGGAGCCGGAGGCUGCGCAUGGAGUCGGUGGACAGGCUCGUGACGAGUCUUGGUUCGGGCUCAAUCUCCCCCCGCAGCUUCUAAAUCAGGCGUCUCUUCCUUAAUGACCCACAGAGCGGCGGACAUACCAGCUGUCAACACACAUCCUCUUCCUCCCCGUGUGUUUCUCUCAGUUUUACGCGUUCUCCCCCUCAUGCGCGUCGCCCCCCCCCUCUAUUCGCAGCUGGGCUCGAAGUGAAAGACAGAGGAAGAAACACGCAUAAUUAGAUUGUAAAUGCUUCAUGAUAUUUGAGGACUUCAAAGAGCGCGUCUGAAGCGGCGCAGCGGCUCUUUAACGCUCGUCGCGCGCGCGCGCGCGCCCGCUCGCUUGCGCGGACCCGGCGCCGCUCGCGUGCGUUCCGCAUUAUCAUUUUUAUCAAAGAGGGCCGCUGACCCGUCUUUCUAGUGCGAAAACACUCAGAAGCUCAUUUCAUAGCAGCGUGUGAAGAGUUCAGCAGGAACCGCAGCGUGACUGAAAACAAUGCGCUUUAAUGUGUUAAAAAUGAGUCGCAAAGUGCUGUUACCCAAAGUUGCGCUGACAUCUGACCGCCGCAUUCAAACACAACAUGACACGCGUGACUGUUUUCAUGCAACAAGUCAUUUCUGGUAAUUACAGUUAUUAUACAGCAGCCCUACACACCAAUUACUCUCGUCUGGGGCAUUUCUGUGAGCGUGAGUAUUUGAGAGGGAGAGAGGGAAAAAACUAGCGAAGUUGAAAGCAGACAAUUGUCACGUAAAAAACACACUAAAAUAAAAAUUAAAGAGACAAUCAUAUUUGGCAUCUGUCACAUCUGACUGCGUUUCCUCAGGAAGUCAACCGGUGAGGACGAAUCCACUUCCGGUCCAGCUCCGUUUCUCUGAGGACGAAGAAGUAUGUUACGUGAUUAAAAACAAUACUAAACCAACAGGGGGCUUUAAAGUAGUUUUUACCGGUGUCACUUCAACAGAACAUAAUCCAUAAGCUGAAUAGCGAGCUCUCCCGUGGUCCUCGCUCCGUCUCUGUGUGUGUGACACAGCUACAUAAUGUUCCUCUGCGGCCUUUAUAGAUCCGUGCCUUGUGGUCAGUGUGGUCUCGCUCGCCCCUGAGGUUCUUGUCGGGCGUCUCACCGCAGGGCCUGCUCAGUCACACUGGGCCGCGAUCACUGUACCAGAACUCUCACAUCUGCUGAGCAGCAGCAGAAGCAACAACAGCAUGACGGAGCUCUGAAAUUUACUGCCGGGACUCAACGGGACAUAGAGAGAACCUGAGGCCCCUGCAGAGUUCUCCGGCUCAGAACAGUUGUUUUAGUUUAGCGGGAGAGUUUUAUGUGUGGGUCAGAUUGGGACAGACUCAAGUUUCCACGGACCUCCAUUGACUCUCUAAGACCACUAAAAAACGGCUUGUUUCCCUCAAAUAAACAACCACAAUGCGCUUUUUAUUGGACAGUCUUGUAUUUUGUAAUCAUCAAUAGCUGGAAUGAAACCCUAGCAGGGCCAUGAUGUGAAAAUAAAUUCCACCGAUGGUGCAUAAUUGUUGGAAUUUCCCUUUUGAUGAAUGCGGCCAAAAGCUUGUCAUUAUCCAAAAAGCAUUUCAGCUACAUAAAGCCUUCAUUUAAAUUAAAGCGCAUUGUGAGCGA